rnacentral:lncRNA from 1 species
GCUCUCGUCUGUAUUUCCGCCGGCGCGAAACGAGCGUAGCUUCCUUGUCGUGUGGCCUCAGUCCUUCGCCGUCCCUCGCCGUCCUUCGCCAUCGCACGCCACCGCACCCCAUCUCUCGAAAUCUGCAGACAUCUUGAUUUUUCCCACGCUGUCUGUCAGGUCUCCGCCGCCACUCGACGCCAGGGCGCCGGGCCUUGUGGGCUGUGCUGCACCUCGGACGGCUUCGCACCAGCCAGCGCCCUCUCUCUCCUGCAGCACUCUGAUCUGCACCCCCUGAGGGGCUUCCACUGUCCGCGGGGUGAGAAUGCCCCUGGGAGUGUCACAUGACUGCCGCCCCAUGUGUGUGAGAGGCGUCCUCUGGGAGAGCAUGGAUCCUGAGGUCCCAGGAUUGUCAGCUGACCUCUGUCCUGUGUGCCCAGUGGCCCCAGGUGACGUGUCUUCAAGAAGAGGCUGAGCUGCGGUGCUUGUAAGGGUCUCAUUCUGUCACCCAGGCUGGAGUGCAGUGGUGCAAUGAUGGCUCACUGCAGCCUCGACCUGGGCUCAAGUGAUCCUCCACCUCAGCUUCCUGAGUAGCUGGGACCACAGGUCUCAGCCUUAGAUCCAAGGACAGUCCAAGGAAGUCCUAAGACCAUGGAGUUGGUGAUCUGGGAUCUGGGUUUGCUGAUAUUUCUCACCGUGAAUCUCUUGGUGGUGUUUGUGGGCACGAGAGGGGCAGAGAAUGGAGAGUGAGGCUACCACAUGAAGCGUCACCAGAGCUGCUCCCUGCUGCCUGCUCAGAGCACCCCGGAUCCACUGUUCAAUCUGCACAAGAUUCGGGGUCCAGACAUGGGAGACUUCAGCUGCCUCAGAGGACCGUGGACAGGGAAGGCCAGCCUCGCAUCCCUCUGUCCAUGCCUGGAAUGACUUUAAUAACCAAGAGUUUUAUUUUUGAAUUUGUAGCUGUCGUUCACUUUUUACCCACCCAUUCAAUAAACCUUACAGAAUUGCUCCA